AUCCAAUUAGAAAAAAAUCAACCGAUCAACAUCAAUUAAUUGUGUGUGGUUGGUAUCAGGGUGCGAGGCUAACCGCGCGUCAGCGAGGACGAGGCUCGUGCAGCGCGUCUGUUUAAAGUUGUUCGAAAGUUGUGUGGAUCGGUUUGGUUUUUCCUUUUGCUGAUGUGUUGCUGUUGCAACGAAAUGGAAAAUUAAAACAACUGGAUUUUCACUGAUUGCGAGGGUAAAGGCCUGGUGUUUAGGAACGUGUUCUUCGCGGUAUCCCUUCCGGUGAUACUUUUGCUGACGGGUAGGGCAGUGAUG